AGAGUUUGAUCAUGGCUCAGAUUGAACGCUGGCGGCAGGCCUAACACAUGCAAGUCGAGCGGUAGCACAGAGAGCUUGCUCUCGGGUGACGAGCGGCGGACGGGUGAGUAAUGUCUGGGAAACUGCCUGAUGGAGGGGGAUAACUACUGGAAACGGUAGCUAAUACCGCAUAAUGUCGCAAGACCAAAGUGGGGGACCUUCGGGCCUCAUGCCAUCAGAUGUGCCCAGAUGGGAUUAGCUAGUAGGUGGGGUAAUGGCUCACCUAGGCGACGAUCCCUAGCUGGUCUGAGAGGAUGACCAGCCACACUGGAACUGAGACACGGUCCAGACUCCUACGGGAGGCAGCAGUGGGGAAUAUUGCACAAUGGGCGCAAGCCUGAUGCAGCCAUGCCGCGUGUGUGAAGAAGGCCUUCGGGUUGUAAAGCACUUUCAGCGGGGAGGAAGGCGGUGAGGUUAAUAACCUCACCGAUUGACGUUACCCGCAGAAGAAGCACCGGCUAACUCCGUGCCAGCAGCCGCGGUAAUACGGAGGGUGCAAGCGUUAAUCGGAAUUACUGGGCGUAAAGCGCACGCAGGCGGUCUGUCAAGUCGGAUGUGAAAUCCCCGGGCUCAACCUGGGAACUGCAUUCGAAACUGGCAGGCUAGAGUCUUGUAGAGGGGGGUAGAAUUCCAGGUGUAGCGGUGAAAUGCGUAGAGAUCUGGAGGAAUACCGGUGGCGAAGGCGGCCCCCUGGACAAAGACUGACGCUCAGGUGCGAAAGCGUGGGGAGCAAACAGGAUUAGAUACCCUGGUAGUCCACGCCGUAAACGAUGUCGAUUUGGAGGUUGUGCCCUUGAGGCGUGGCUUCCGGAGCUAACGCGUUAAAUCGACCGCCUGGGGAGUACGGCCGCAAGGUUAAAACUCAAAUGAAUUGACGGGGGCCCGCACAAGCGGUGGAGCAUGUGGUUUAAUUCGAUGCAACGCGAAGAACCUUACCUGGUCUUGACAUCCACAGAACUUAGCAGAGAUGCUUUGGUGCCUUCGGGAACUGUGAGACAGGUGCUGCAUGGCUGUCGUCAGCUCGUGUUGUGAAAUGUUGGGUUAAGUCCCGCAACGAGCGCAACCCUUAUCCUUUGUUGCCAGCGGUCCGGCCGGGAACUCAAAGGAGACUGCCAGUGAUAAACUGGAGGAAGGUGGGGAUGACGUCAAGUCAUCAUGGCCCUUACGACCAGGGCUACACACGUGCUACAAUGGCAUAUACAAAGAGAAGCGACCUCGCGAGAGCAAGCGGACCUCAUAAAGUAUGUCGUAGUCCGGAUUGGAGUCUGCAACUCGACUCCAUGAAGUCGGAAUCGCUAGUAAUCGUAGAUCAGAAUGCUACGGUGAAUACGUUCCCGGGCCUUGUACACACCGCCCGUCACACCAUGGGAGUGGGUUGCAAAAGAAGUAGGUAGCUUAACCUUCGGGAGGGCGCUUACCACUUUGUGAUUCAUGACUGGGGUGAAGUCGUAACAAGGUAACCGUAGGGGAACCUGCGGUUGGAUCACCU
rnacentral:rRNA from 1 species